AGAGAAGUUUCUCUCAGUGGUGUUAGAGUGCAUUCUUUGUAUGUAUGAUGUCCUGGGUUCAAUCCCCAGCUUCUCUC